UUAAGUUCAGCGGGUAACCCUACCUGAUCCGAGGUCAAACCAUAAAAAUAGAGGGUUUGACGGCUGGCCUUCGCCGGGACCUAAUGCGAUGUGUAAGUUUACUACGCAGAAGGCGCCGCGGCGGGACCGCCACUGUAUUUCAGGGCCUACGGCAGCUCCGAAGAACCGCUGUAGCGCCCCAACACCGAUCCUUUGGUUUA
rnacentral:misc_RNA from 1 species